AUUGAACGCUGGCGGCAUGCCUUACACAUGCAAGUCGAACGGCAGCGGACCUUCGGGUGCCGGCGAGUGGCGAACGGGUGAGUAAUAUAUCGGGAACGUACCUUUCAGUGGGGGAUAACGUAGCGAAAGUUACGCUAAUACCGCAUAUUCUGUGAGCAGGAAAGCAGGGGAUCGCAAGACCUUGCGCUGAUUGAGCGGCCGAUAUCAGAUUAGCUAGUUGGUGAGGUAAAGGCUCACCAAGGCGACGAUCUGUAGCGGGUCUGAGAGGAUGAUCCGCCACACUGGAACUGAGACACGGUCCAGACUCCUACGGGAGGCAGCAGUGGGGAAUUUUGGACAAUGGGCGCAAGCCUGAUCCAGCCAUGCCGCGUGAGUGAAGAAGGCCU
rnacentral:rRNA from 1 species